UUUUGGGUGCAAUAUGUAUUCUAUAUCAAUCACAUUAUUCACUUCAAACAGCUUUAUGCACACUCUAUCCAAAUUGCACGUGAUACAUUUGAUUCAUGUUAUACAUGUUACGCUAUUGUAAACUCUCAUGACUAUGUGUUCAUUAACUUUGCAAGCCUCCCCUAACAAUGGUAGCGCUAUAGGUUGAGAAACGCCCCUCCCGUUAUUCUCGCGGGUAUUGUUAGGUUAAUCUAUGUUAAAACCUCCCGUUAUUCUUUGGGAUAGGCACGUUAAUUGCGUUAAACUUUGGUUUGGACACAUAGAGUAACAUCGUUUCGAGUAUAUACUGUUAAUGUGUAAUCAUGUUAUUCACGUUGGAUAUGAGCAACUUUAAACUUUUUAUUAUACUAUAUAUCAAACUUGUAUACUCGCCAACAUACCUUGUUCAUUUGUUCAAGAUUCAAGAAACAAGCUAGGAUGGCUUUAGAUACCCAUUUUAGCAAUUAAACCAUGUUUGAAUUUAUGUUUACUAUUUGAGACAUUGUAUUACUUUCUUAGUUUUAAUAAAACGAAUUAAUUCAUAUUGUCACCUUUAGUGUUAUGUUGUUUUGAGCAAUUUGU
rnacentral:lncRNA from 1 species